CAAUCCAUUCUUUUCUUGCUUUAAGGGUGGUGACUCUAAUGGACUAAAGGAAGAAGAAGAAGAAGCCAUAUAAUAUUCACUCUUUCUUUCUUAUGUACUUCAUCAUCAGUUGCAUGAUGCUAUCUAUAUUUGCAUUAGAGAUCAAGGGAACUCGUUAAAUUAAUUAAUUAACAAAUAAAUAUAAUUGAACAAGCAGACAUGAAAAACUAAUAACAUUGCG
rnacentral:lncRNA from 1 species